rnacentral:rRNA from 1 species
GCCCAGACUCCUACGGGAGGCAGCAGUGGGGGAUAUUGCACAAUGGGGGAAACCCUGAUGUAGCGACGCCGCGUGGGCGAAGAAGUAUUUCGGUAUGUAAAGCCCUAUCAGCAGGGAAGAAGAAAUGACGGUACCUGAGUAAGAAGCACCGGCUAAAUACGUGCCAGCAGCCGCGGUAAUACGUAUGGUGCAAGCGUUAUCCGGAUUUACUAGGUGCAAAGGGAGCGCAGGCGGCACGGCAAGCCUGAUGUGAAAGCCCGCGGCCCAACCGCGGGACUGCAUUGGGAACUACCGGGCUGGAGUGGCGGAGAGGUAGGCGGAACUCCUAGUGUAGCGGUGAAAUGCGUAGAUAUCAGGAGGAACACCGGCGGCGAAGGCGGCCUGCUGGACCGUGACUGACGUUGAGGCUCGAGAGCGUGGGGAGCAAACAGGAUUAGAUACCCCCGUAC